rnacentral:SRP_RNA from 1 species
GUCUGUCGACAGGAAUGCUUCUUCCCCU